rnacentral:rRNA from 1 species
UACGUAGGGCGCAAGCGUUAUCCGGAAUUAUUGGGCGUAAAGAGCUCGUAGGUGGUUUGUCGCGUUGUUCGUGAAAACUCACAGCUUAACUGUGGGCGUGCGGGCGAUACGGGCAGACUUGAGUACUGCAGGGGAGACUGGAAUUCCUGGUGUAGCGGUGGAAUGCGCAGAUAUCAGGAGGAACACCGGUGGCGAAGGCGGGUCUCUGGGCAGUAACUGACGCUGAGGAGCGAAAGCGUGGGGAGCGAACAGG